AAUUCGAUUGAGUUUGAUCAUGGCUCAGGACGAACGCUGGCGGCGUGCUUAACACAUGCAAGUCGAGCGGAAAGGCCCUUCGGGGUACUCGAGCGGCGAACGGGUGAGUAACACGUGAGUAACCUGCCCCAGGCUUUGUGAUAACCCUCGGAAACGGGGGCUAAUACCGAAUAUUCAUUUCCGGCGGCAUCGUUGGUUGUGGAAAGUUUUUCGGCCUGGGAUGGGCUCGCGGCCUAUCAGCUUGUUGGUGGGGUGAUGGCCUACCAAGGCGACGACGGGUAGCCGGCCUGAGAGGGCGACCGGCCACACUGGGACUGAGACACGGCCCAGACUCCUACGGGAGGCAGCAGUGGGGAAUAUUGCACAAUGGGCGGAAGCCUGAUGCAGCGACGCCGCGUGAGGGAUGAGGGCCUUCGGGUUGUAAACCUCUUUCGACAG
rnacentral:rRNA from 1 species